CCUACGGGAGGCAGCAGUGAGGAAUAUUGGUCAAUGGGCGAGAGCCUGAACCAGCCAAGUAGCGUGAAGGAUGACUGCCCUACGGGUUGUAAACUUCUUUUGUAAAGGAAUAAAGUGAGGCACGUGUACCUUUUUGAAUGUACUUUAUGAAUAAGCAUCGGCUAACUCCGUGCCAGCAGCCGCGGUAAUACGGAGGAUCCGAGCGUUAUCCGGAUUUAUUGGGUUUAAAGGGAGCGUAGAUGGGUUGUUAAGUCAGUUGUGAAAGUUUGCGGCUCAACCGUAAAAUUGCAAUUGAUACUGGCAGUCUUGAGUACAGUUGAGGUAGGCGGAAUUCGUGGUGUAGCGGUGAAAUGCUUAGAUAUCACGAAGAACUCCGAUUGCGAAGGCAGCUCACUAAACUGCCACUGACACUGAGGCUCGAAAGUGUGGGUAUCAAACAGGAUUAGAUACCCUGGUAGUC
rnacentral:rRNA from 1 species